rnacentral:lncRNA from 1 species
AACAUGCUAUAAGAAGUAACUCUAUAACUUUUCAAUGAAAUUCUAAGUGCAGAAGAGAUACUAUAAAUCUCAACCAGGAAAAAAAUACAAGCAAAAAAUUGAUCAUGGCUUCCAGAGGCGGAUGCAAUGUGGUAGCUACGGGUUCAAUUGAACCCAUAACUUUCGACAUAGAGUAGAAAUUUAUGUGUAAAAAUUCAUUAAAAUUGCAAAAAUUAAUAGAUUUGAACCCAUAACUUUAAAAAUAUAAUGGGUUCAAUGUUAAAAAUUUUAAAAGUUGAACCCAUAGAGUUUAAUUCCUGGAUCCGCUUCUGAUGGCUUCCUGUUUCUUGGCCUUCAAUCUCUCAAAAUGUAGCUUGUCGUAAAAAAUAUUACAGUGCAUUUGCAUAGAGACUAAAUAACAUUCUUCUCAAAAACCACAUAUAAAAGGAAUUUAGUGAGACUCACUCAUAUAAAAUCUCAAUGAAGAAGGUAUCACCAUAAAAUACAACACUUCUCAUGACAUUCUCAUUCUCAGAAUUUUAAGCUAUUUUUACAUAGUUUACACUGCUAGCACAUUAAGCUGCUAUUUUUUACACAAUUCACAUAGCUGGCAAAUUAAACUGGACAAGGUAUUGAUAUUUGAGUUCAAUACAGUCACAUUAGAGAAAUGGUGAAGCUUCUUUUUUCUUCUCAGCUUGAUAUGUUUAGCUAUUAGAUCAAUAUCCUAGUAAAACAUGCAAGCGAUGAUCUGGAAGAGAGGGUCAACUAUGACAGUGAUUGAGGGAGACUUGUUCUGUGAUAAACAAAUGACUUCAAACAAGAACCUCAGGGGCUAUUCUUCCGGGAAAUGAAUUACGAUGCCUAAGAUUACUCAUAAACCAGAAUUUUCCAUUCUUAAAGAGAGGAUUGACAAUGAUCUAAAGCAAGUAAAGUUUAUUUUCGUUAAUCACCACCAAAUUUCAAUUUAAUCAUAUUCAUGUGGAAUAAGUUUCAAAAAACUUAGCAUACCUCAAAUACGACCUUCUCUUAGGCAGAGAGUAAUAAUCAGAUCUGAAAAAAGCAAAAUUGGGGAAUACCAAGGAGAGUCAGGAUAGAGUACCUCUUUGACAAUAAUUGCAGCCACUACUUAUACCACUACAAGAUCAUAUGUUAGAGAGUUAUAGACAUCUCAAACGAGAAGAUAUGCCAAUCCUUAUAGGCAGAGGCGAAGCCAGAAAUUUUAUUUAGGGUGUUCAAACUUGAAAGAAGUAUAAAAAAUCUCCAAUAAAGGGUGUUCAAUAUAUAUUAUAUACCACUAAAAUAUAAUAUUUUACCUAUAUAUAUCGUGUAAAUUUUCGAUGAAGGGUGGUCAAUAGGCGUGCAAAAAGGAUAAUCAUCUAAAUUCAUGACAAUCAGAGAGCUAUUUCAACAGCAUAACAUCCAUUUUUAUGACCGACUUAAUAAUAAGAAUGUAGGAAAUAUAUCAUAAGCUUAAAAAUGUAUAUAACGUGCCAACAGUCUAGCUGAACAGAACCUUUUUGAAAGUAACAGCUAACAACUCUACAUCCAAGAAUUUGACAUAUUUCAGGUUAAAAGAAAACAAACAUGCACAAAUUCAUCUCUCGGAUAAUAAAUUUCGGAAAGCAAAUUUUGUCACUAAACCACAUCGAUUAUUGUUCAAGUACACAAGUUAAAUGCAGAAUUUGAUAUCAAGAAUGAACAAAAAUAUUACAAAAUACAGCCACGAUUAUUCUUGAAUAAUGGCAAAGCAAAAAUCAAAGAAUUUUGCAAAUCUCCUAAAUGAACGUUCAUUUUUUCACUUUAAAAGUCUUUUACAUAGAAAAUAAUUGGAGAAUGACAUUCCUAAUAAUGGACUAAUGAAAAUACAUCAUCACAGUAACCCAAGGUGCAACUAAAGCAAAAAAUAAGUGGCACAACUUCUCGACGCCAUCCAAUAUGCAGAAGAGAGUAUAAAACUAUAAAUCAUCAAAAGAAUGCCAACUUCUUCAAUGUCCAAAAAAAUAAUAUGACAUAUGAAAUCUAAGAAGUACUCAAAGUGAAUAACGUUUAUUCUAAAAAAAAAUUACAUCAAAAGCGACUAUAAUGGUUCAACAACACCCUUCUACCAACAUGGACAACUUCUCAUUUGAUCAAUUUCUAGUCAUUUUAUAGAUAGUACAUACUAGUAGACGAUAUACCCGCACAAUUUCAGCCCCCCGCUCCGCAUAGGAUUCAAAUCCGCAUCCACCCGCCCCACGCUCCACCAGUAUUAACCCGCUCCGCCCUGCCCCUCAAAUUUUUUUAACAAAGAUUCUCUCUUUUUUUGUAGUUUUUUUGCCAAUAAAAAUUAGCCGAAGGAAAUCCUGAUUGUUGUCUCAUAUGUAAUUGUUCUGUCAUUAGUUCACUACUGUAUUUGGAAUUUCAAUGGCAUUACCGUAUACAAUAAUUUUUAUAACUUACAAUGGUUCUAGAAUGACUUUUAUAUGCAAAUUUAAAAUCUAUGGCAAAAGUUUGUUGUUGGUUCCAACUUAUGCUAGCAAAACAGUCUUGGUUUUUGAUUGAUGUUUCCUAUUUAAGAGUACUCAAGAACAUAAUAUUUAGCCUUUAUGUCAGUUCAAAAAAUUAAAUCUCCCAGCCCCGUCCCACAACCGCAAACUCCCAAACUCUGCACCGCCCCGCUGACGGUCAAACCCUCCCUACACCCGCCCGCUCUAUUGCCAUCCCUACACAUGGGAGACCGUAAUGGGGAGAAGCAACUUUGUAUGUCCGGCAAAGUGCCAUCGUGCUAGCGGAAUGUCCAUACUCAUCAUCAUGCCAUUGGUUUUCUUCGAACCACAAUAAAACAAACAGUACAUAACAAUUUUACAAGCAGAAACAGAGAAAGUAGUGAAAUUAAAGAACCAAGCAGAGAACUGAACGCCAAAAGCAAGGAAUUGCAAAAGGCGAUAACCCAGCUAGUCAAUUAAUAAGUGUAACACGUUUUCACACUUAGUUCUUAAAUUUCUAGAUAGAAAGUUAAGAAAUUUAGCGGCAACAGAGUAACUCCCAAAUUUUAACCCAAUAUCUAACAGUAAUGUAAAAUCCAUGGGAAGGGAAACUGAACCGCAGAAAUUUAAUAGGUUGUACCUCCGAAUUUGGAGAAGACGAAUGCCGUCAGAAAAUACCUGAAGACGAAAGCGGAAAACGUUA